UAAAACUGUGAUGCAUUGUAUGAUAGAAAGUUGGAUUUUCAGUGAAUGGCGGACCCACCCAGAAUGAAGAGCUUAUAUCCCUGUAGCGUGAGAAUUCAGGAGAAAUAUUUGAGAUGGUUUUCAAAAUAGCAGUCAUGUUUGUUGUUUAUUUGAUGAUUUUAUCACACACGCUUGCCGGAGAGGAGAUCUCCCUACAUCGAUAUAACCGUGUAACACUGACUCCACGGUUACUAGACAUCUUCUGUAGUGCCUGUUGUAAAGGCCUGACCCUCAGAAAGAGUCUCUGUCUAGUACGGUUUUGUAUGAACUCCCAAUGUGCCAAGUCCUGACAACUAGUGGUUACUGAGAUAAAACACUGUGAUUUCUUCUGACAUUGUUCCACAGAAAUAAUGGAAUUUAUCCUUCUGCCUUUAAUUAUAUAUAGGCUUAAAAGUCUUAUUUUAUUUUUGUAAUAUAAAAUGUAACCUUUUUGUUGAAAUUAAAGUAAUUUCAUAUUC